CCUACGGGGGGCAGCAGUGAGGAAUAUUGGUCAAUGGGCUUACGCCUGAACCAGCCAAGUCGCGUGAGGGAAGACUGCCCUAUGGGUUGUAAACCUCUUUUGUCAGGGAGCAAUUGGCGCUACGUGUAGCGUUAUCGAGAGUACCUGAAGAAAAAGCAUCGGCUAACUCCGUGCCAGCAGCCGCGGUAAUACGGAGGAUGCGAGCGUUAUCCGGAUUGAUUGGGUUUAAAGGGUGCGUAGGCGGAAUGCCAAGUCAGCGGUAAAAUCGCGGGGCUCAACCUCGCUCAGCCGUUGAAACUGGCGUUCUUGAGUGGGCUAGAAGUAUGUGGAAUGCGUGGUGUAGCGGUGAAAUGCAUAGAUAUCACGAAGAACUCCGAUUGCGAAGGCAGCAUACCGGCGCCCAACUGACGCUGAAGCACGAAAGCGUGGGUAUCGAACAGGAUUAGAUACCCUUGUAGUC
rnacentral:rRNA from 1 species